UGGUUUACUCGUGUCGUCAUUCGUCGUGGGCACCUUGUCCCCGGGGCCGGCCAGUUACUUGGCCUCCUGGCUCAUCAUCCUGCCGGAAGCAUCUCCAGCUUGGGGAUGUUGGAGGGUCCCUGGCCCCACCUGGCUGGGGAUGGAGUGUAAGCCGAGGAGAUGCCAUGUGAGGGUGCAGCGAGGAGUUGGGCUGUCUAAAAGCAAAGAAAGAGAUUGCAUCAGACACCGCAUCUGCUGACACCUUGUUCUUGGACUUCCAGCUUCCAAAACCGCGAGAAAUAAAUGUCUGUGUCUAAACCCCAACCCUACCACCUCAACUGCCGUGUGUGGUGUUUUGUGAUGGCAGCCCCAGCUGACUGAGACACCUGGUUAGACCGGAAUAAGCAGGCUGCAAUCGGUAGCAGUCACCAUUGAACAUCCUUGAAGCAAUUCUUCCAAAAUUACCUUGCAUCAAAGACUGCACAAGAACUGCUCUAAGCGGAAGGACUGAUGUCGGCAACCAGGGUUCCACCAGGGGCUGCAGACAGCCCUUGACCUUCAGGUGGGAAGGUGUCACUGAGUUCAGACCCUCUGGCAAUCCCUAGCUAUCAACAUUUUGAUAAGAAAAUAAGUGGAAAGGUAGAACUGGAAGAUUUUGCUGAAAGAUUGGACAUGGCAUUCAGAGAAACAGAGGUUUUAAUGACAAACUCCAAGUUUUUGGCUGGAGCAACUGGAAGAAUGAGGUUGCCAUGAACCGAAAAGAGAGAUUGCAGAAGUAACCAAAUUUACUCACGUAGGCCAGGAAUUUCUAUGACGUGUUCCAAAUUCAGCCUCUCACUGAACACUUCCAGAGCAAGGCAACAUAAACAUCUGCAAGAAGAACAUUGUGUGAGAAAUAUCAAGUGAGAGUGGAAGAGUCUGCGGAGGGCCUCCCUGGGGCUCACCUGUGCUUUUGCCUGAGCUUCACCGUGUCAAGCACUUUUUCCCUCUGGAGGAAGCAGCUUUCACCUUGGAAGAAUCUUGACCUUGCCAUUCAAAGUCACCAGACAGGGAAUCUGCCAGUGCCUUGAUCUUAGACUUCCCAGCUUCUGUAACUGUGAGCAAUAAAUGUAUGCUGCUUAUAAACUA